rnacentral:rRNA from 1 species
UACGUAGGGGGCGAGCGUUAUCCGGAAUUAUUGGGCGUAAAGAGUACGUAGGUGGUUUUGUAAGCGUGGGGUGAAAGACCGAAGCUUAACUUCGGUUAGCCUUGCGAACUGCAAGACUUGAGUGCAGGAGAGGAAAGUGGAAUUCCUAGUGUAGCGGUGAAAUGCGUAGAUAUUAGGAGGAACACCAGUGGCGAAGGCGACUUUCUGGACUGUAACUGACACUGAGGUACGAAAGCGUGGGUAGCAAACAGGAUUAGAUACCCUGGUAGUCCCUGAGCGGGCU